GUGUGUGUGUGUGUGUGUGUGUGUGUGUGUGUGUGUGUGUGUGUGUGUGUGUGUGUGUGUGUACAGUAUAUUGAUGUCAGAUUGGGAGUGUGUUGUGAGGAGUCUCUUGAGGGUCAGCAGAAGCAGUGCUUUGCUUUCUCUGUGUUUCUGACGCUCGGGUUCAUGAAAGUGCCGCUGUAGCAGGUCGCCUGUUUGUGCUGACUGUGUGUGUGUGUGUGUGUGUAAGAGAGAGAGAGAGAGAGAGAGAUACAGCUGCCAGGUGAUUGUGAGACAUGCUGAUAUAAAACCCCUCUCUCACACACACACACACACACACACUCUCACUACACUCACAUACACUCUCUCUCACACAUACACA